AUACGUAGGGGGCGAGCGUUGUCCGGAAUUAUUGGGCGUAAAGGGCGCGUAGGCGGCCCGGUAAGUCUGGAGUGAAAGUCCUGUUUUUAAGAUGGGAAUUGCUUUGGAUACUGUCGGGCUUGAGUGCAGGAGAGGUAAGUGGAAUUCCCAGUGUAGCGGUGAAAUGCGUAGAGAUUGGGAGGAACACCAGUGGCGAAGGCGACUUACUGGGCUGUAACUGACGCUGAGGCGCGAAAGUGUGGGGAGCAAACAGGAUUAGAUACCCUGGUAGUCCACACUGUAAACGAUGCAUGCUAGGUGUAGGGGGUAUCGACCCCUUCUGUGCCGCAGUCAACACAAUAAGCAUACCGCCUGGGGAGUACGGCCGCAAGGUUGAAACUCAAAUGAAUUUUCGGGG
rnacentral:rRNA from 1 species